rnacentral:rRNA from 1 species
AACGAACGCUGGCGGCAGGCUUAACACAUGCAAGUCGAGCGCCCCGCAAGGGGAGCGGCAGACGGGUGAGUAACACGUGGGCAACCUGCCCCUCACUCUGGGAUAACGCCGGGAAACCGGCGCUAAUACCGGAUACGACCAGGCGCGACAUCUCGCCUGGUGGAAAGAAUUUCGGUGAGGGAUGGGCCCGCGGCCUAUCAGCUUGUUGGUGGGGUAACGGCCCACCAAGGCGACGACGGGUAGCCGGCCUGAGAGGGCGACCGGCCACCCUGGGACUGAGACACGGCCCAGACUCCUACGGGAGGCAGCAGUGGGGAAUAUUGCGCAAUGGGCGAAAGCCUGACGCAGCGACGCAGCGUGAGGGACGACGGCCUUCGGGUUGUAAACCCCUUUCAGCGGGGACGAAGCGAAAGUGACGGUACCCGCAGAAGAAGCACCGGCUAACUACGUGCCAGCCGCCGCCGUAAUAC